rnacentral:rRNA from 1 species
AACGAACGCUGGCGGCAUGCCUAACACAUGCAAGUCGAACGAGACCUUCGGGUCUAGUGGCGCACGGGUGCGUAACGCGUGGGAACCUGCCCUUAGGUUCGGAAUAACUCCCCGAAAGGGGUGCUAAUACCGGAUAAUGUCUCCGGACCAAAGAUUUAUCGCCUUUGGAUGGGCCCGCGUUGGAUUAGCUAGUUGGUAGGGUAAAAGCCUACCAAGGCGACGAUCCAUAGCUGGUCUGAGAGGAUGAUCAGCCACACUGGGACUGAGACACGGCCCAGACUCCUACGGGAGGCAGCAGUGGGGAAUAUUGGACAAUGGGCGAAAGCCUGAUCCAGCAAGGCCGCGUGAGUGAUGAAGGCCUUAGGGUUGUAAAGCUCUUUUACCCGGGAUGAUAAUGACAGUACCGGGAGAAUAAGCUCCGGCUAACUCCGUG